GGAAUUUUAUAGCUUGGAUGGAAGAAUGGAGGACGGAACAAAGGGAAGGAGUACAGAAGUUGUCCAGCCUGCUGAUUAAGAAAUGUGCUGAAACCUUGUGUCCUGAUUCAACAGACACACCGACCUUGAGUGAUGACCAAUGAUUUAAUGUGCCACUUCAAUAUGAAGGGACAGAGGAGCAAACAUGCCUUUGCUACCACUCCUGGGUGAUCCAUUGUAGUUGUAAGUGUCAUGAAAAUCCAGAAAACUCAGAAGGUUGAUGUGUUUGCGGGGACUCUGGAAAGACAAAACAUUUACCCUGACCGCCG